GACGGAGGGUGCGAGCGUUAUUAGGAAUCAUUGGGCGUAAAGAGUGUGUAGGCGGCCGGUUAAGUCAGGCGUGAAAGCCCAGGGCUCAACCCUGGAAGUGCGUUUGAAACUGGCUGGCUUGAGUUCGGGAGAGGGAAGCGGAAUUCCUGGUGUAGAGGUGAAAUUCGUAGAUAUCAGGAGGAACAUCGGUGGCGAAGGCGGCUUCCUGGACCGAAACUGACGCUGAGACACGAAAGCGUGGGGAGCAAACAGG
rnacentral:rRNA from 1 species